rnacentral:rRNA from 1 species
UAACGCGUGGGUAACCUGCCUUAUACAGGGGGAUAACAGUUAGAAAUGACUGCUAAUACCGCAUAAGCGCACAGUACCGCAUGGUAGUGUGUGAAAAACUCCGGUGGUAUAAGAUGGACCCGCGUCUGAUUAGCCAGUUGGCGGGGUAACGGCCCACCAAAGCGACGAUCAGUAGCCGACCUGAGAGGGUGACCGGCCACAUUGGGACUGAGACACGGCCCAAACUCCUACGGGAGGCAGCAGUGGGGAAUAUUGCACAAUGGGGGAAACCCUGAUGCAGCAACGCCGCGUGAGUGAAGAAGUAUUUCGGUAUGUAAAGCUCUAUCAGCAGGGAAGAAGAUGACGGUACCUGAUUAAGAAGCCCCGGCUAACUACGUGCCAGCAGCCGCGGUAAUACGUAGGGGGCAAGCGUUAUCCGGAUUUACUGGGUGUAAAGGGAGCGCAGACGGCAGUGCAAGUCUGGAGUGAAAGCCCGGGGCCCAACCCCGGAACUGCUCUGGAAACUGUGCGGCUAGAGUACUGGAGGGGCAGGCGGAAUUCCUAGUGUAGCGGUGAAAUGCGUAGAUAUUAGGAGGAACACCAGUGGCGAAGGCGGCCUGCUGGACAGUAACUGACGUUGAGGCUCGAAAGCGUGGGGAGCAAACAGGAUUAGAUACCCUGGUAGU